UGGGGAAUAUUGCACAAUGGGGGAAACCCUGAUGCAGCGACGCCGCGUGAACGAAGAAGGUAUUCGUAUCGUAAAGUUCUGUCCUAUGGGAAGAUAAUGACAGUACCAUAGAAGAAAGCUCCGGCUAAAUACGUGCCAGCAGCCGCGGUAAUACGUAUGGAGCGAGCGUUGUCCGGACUUAUUGGGCGUAAAGGGUACGCAGGCGGUUUAAUAAGUCGAAUGUUAAAGAUCGGGGCUCAACCCCGCAAAGCAUUGGAAACUGAUAAACUUGAGUAGGGGAGAGGAAAGUGGAAUUCCUAGUGUAGUGGUGAAAUACGUAGAUAUUAGGAGGAAUACCAGUAGCGAAGGCGACUUUCUGGACACAAACUGACGCUGAGGUACGAAAGCGUGGGGAGCAAACAGG
rnacentral:rRNA from 1 species